rnacentral:lncRNA from 1 species
CAGCACACAGGCAUGUGAAAGUGGCAGGGGGAGCCUUUUAGGUAAUGUCUAGGAAUAGCUGGCUUCAAUUCGAGAUUUUGUGGAAAGAGCAAAGUGGGGGAUAGAAAUUUCUGGAAAGGGCAACGGGAUGUGAGCAGAAGUGAGGUAAGCAACAUUUGGCUUACUUCCUGAAAGAUAAUUUCCUUCUACAGACUUUCUUCGUUCUCCAGUGUAGAGAUACAGCAACAGCUGGCAUAGCUGGAACCUUGGAGCAAGAGACGGCAGCUCGUCGCUGAGUUCAGCAGUGUCCACUUGCCUGACUGAAAGCCUGGAUUAUCUCAGGAAUCAGAGCCAUUUGCCAGGAAUUCAGCUUCUCGCAUUCCAGUUGUUUUGAAGUCCGAAUUCCAGUUUCCUUGUCUCCAGUGCUGUGAAAUUGCCAAAUGCUCUGCUGGUUUCUAUGCCUGUUAGCAGCAUUUCCCUGCCUACAGCUUUGGCCUCUCACCUUGUGGACAAACUGAAAAAUUCCCAGAGAAGAGUGGCUCUUAGAGUGGCCUUAUGUAUCUCUGAGGUUUCCUUCUCUCCAGAACCUUGAUUCUUCAAUUUCUGGUUGUUUUGGCAGCUCCCCAGUGUAUUCAAAUGGCUUACUCCAAUUUCUCUAUUUGUUCUCAAGCUGGCUUAUUGGUCUGCUGCAAGCUACUAUGUAA